GAGCAGUGAUGAUGAUUGUGCUUCCGUGACCCCUAGAUUCUGUCACAGUUGUCUGAUCCUUCAGAUGAUAUGUAAGCGCUUCUGAGCUC
rfam:Eucalyptus grandis cultivar BRASTZ1 unplaced genomic scaffold scaffold_4, whole genome shotgun sequence.